rnacentral:rRNA from 1 species
UAUGAAGGUCCCGAGCGUUGUUCGGAAUUAUUGGGCGUAAAGGGUAUGCAGGCGGUUUCGUAAGUCUGGUGUGUAAGACCACAGCUUAACUGGGGGAACGCAUUGGAAACUGCGAGGCUUGAGUACAGGAGGGGGAGCUGGAAUUCCAGGAGUAGGGGUGAAAUCUGUAGAUAUCUGGAAGAACAUCAGUGGCGAAGGCGAGCUCCUGGCCAUGUACUGACGCUGAGAUACGAAAGCGUGGGGAGCGAACAGG